AGUGAAGCGGCAACAGCUCAAAUUUGAAAUCUGGCCUCCUCGAGGUCCGAGUUGUAAUUUGUAGAGGGUGCUUCGGGUGCGAUGCCGGUCUAAGUUCCUUGGAACAGGACGUCGUAGAGGGUGAGAAUCCCGUAUGCGACCGGCAAUCAAGCCUGUGCGAAGCCCCUUCGACGAGUCGAGUUGUUUGGGAAUGCAGCUCAAAAUGGGUGGUAAAUUUCAUCUAAAGCUAAAUAUUGGCCAGAGACCGAUAGCGGACAAGUAGAGUGAUCGAAAGAUGAAAAGCACUUUGGAAAGAGAGUCAAACAGUACGUGAAAUUGUUGAAAGGGAAGCGCUUGCAAUCAGACCGGUCCGGAGGCGAUCAGCCGCUGCUUGUCAGCGGUGCACUCGCCUGCGAUCCGGCCAGCAUCGGUUUGGGCGGCGGGAUAAAAGUCCCGGGAAUGUAGCUUCUCCCGGGGAGUCUUAUAGCCCGGGUCGCAAUGCCGCCCGCCCGGACCGAGGACCGCGCUCGGC
rnacentral:rRNA from 1 species